AUGGAAUCCCUGCAGACUCCCCAGCACCGUGAAAAUCAAGAUAAAAGGGAGAAGGAGUGUGGGGUAAAACACAUGCCUAUGGGAAAUAAUGCAGGGAAUCUUGAGCCCCGAAAAGAGAAAGGCAGUAACAGUUGCCUUGAGUUCAGCAACAGCUGCCCAGAAUAUCCCGUCCAGUGUCCACUGUGGCUGCUCCAAGCAAUGGAGACUAAAGUUACCAUCGGAGUCGCUGCAAAGUCGGGGACAAGUGAUGAAGCGGCCGAAUAACAUUUUAAAGCUCAGAAAUCUGGAUCUGUUGAUCUACCCUUGGCCAGAACUUAGAAGACUGCAGGUUGCUUCUGACCUAAUGAGCCUCCUCCUUCUCCCCGCUUUUUCCGGCCUCACUUGGGCCCCCUUCCUUUUCCUCUUCUACAUAUCUGCCUCCUUUUCUCAAUCUCCUCACUGUUCAUUUUGUUUCCUAUUUUCUGGUAUAG